GAUGAACGCUGGCGGCGUGCUUAACACAUGCAAGUCGAACGGAAAGGCUCCUGCUUGCAGGGGUACUCGAGUGGCGAACGGGUGAGUAACACGUGGGUGAUCUGCCCUGCACUUCGGGAUAAGCCUGGGAAACUGGGUCUAAUACCGGAUAGGACGAUGGUUUGGAUGCCAUUGUGGAAAGUUUUUCGGUGUGGGAUGAGCUCGCGGCCUAUCAGCUUGUUGGUGGGGUAAUGGCCUACCAAGGCGUCGACGGGUAGCCGGCCUGAGAGGGUGUACGGCCACAUUGUGACUGAGAUACGGCCCAGACUCCUACGGGAGGCAGCAGUGGGGAAUAUUGCACAAUGGGCGCAAGCCUGAUGCAGCGACGCCGCGUGGGGGAUGACGGCCUUCGGGUUGUAAACUCCUUUCGCUAGGGACGAAGCGCAAGUGACGGUACCUGGAGAAGAAGCACCGGCUAACUACGUG
rnacentral:rRNA from 1 species